GACGUGACUUCAGAGUUUGAUCCUGGCUCAGGAUGAACGCUAGCUACAGGCUUAACACAUGCAAGUCGAGGGGCAGCAUGUUGGUUGCUUGCAACCAAUGAUGGCGACCGGCGCACGGGUGAGUAACGCGUAUCCAACCUUCCCCUUACUCAGGAAUAGCCCGUUGAAAGACGGAUUAAUGCCUGAUGUUCUCUGUUUCCGGCAUCGGUAAUAGAGCAAAGAUUCAUCGGUAAGGGAUGGGGAUGCGUAUGAUUAGCUUGUUGGCGGGGUAACGGCCCACCAAGGCAACGAUCAUUAGGGGUUCUGAGAGGAAGGUCCCCCACACUGGAACUGAGACACGGUCCAG
rnacentral:rRNA from 1 species